CUGUCUUUUUUCGUCCUAUCUGUUUUCUCCUCUCUUCCUCCGCACUCAAAUGACAUACAGAAAUAAUCGAAUACCCAUCUGAUCUUCUCAUCACACUUACUUCUAUCACAAAAUUUCCUCAAUCUACUUUCACAAGGAGAACGAAGAUAUAACCACAGGUUGAUAUCACAAUAAAACGAAUUUCCCUAACCUAUUUUGUUUUAAUUUUAAAAGGGGAAAGUAUAACUCAGCAUCAAAUCACAUCAAAUCGAAUUUCUUUUCUCUUAAUAUCAGAGGGGGAAAUUAACCUAUUUUACGCUGUGUUGAUGUUUAGUUUAAGCGGAAUCAGCAUCAAAUAGAAUUGAGUAUGGAAGCAAGAGAUGUUAAUGGAAUUAAUACAGGGUUGAGAAAUUCAGGCAAGUUUGUUGACGACAGUAGUCUGAGCAUAUUAAAGACACACUGAAUGGGUCAUAGAUUAUCUUCAAUUAUGUCCGCAUAAACAGAAGACAAACUAUUGGAUCAGAAUUGUAUUCGGUUGAUAAAAGUUAAUUGAUACCAGAACGGAUGGCACUCAACAAUCCGAUCUCUGCGGAAGCCUUUGGGUUGAAUGAGUAGUGCGAUUGCUUUUUCAGUUUGAAAUAAGUGAAGACAGUUAAAUUGCCUCUCUUAUUUUUUGAGUUGUUUCUGCAUCGCACCUGUCUGCGGCUGUAUCAUGUAAAUAAAAUGCAUAAGAAAAGCAAUAUAUAUGUGUAA